CUUAGAAAACCAAAACUUAGACAGUUUUGAGAGAUAAGAAAGCCUCACUUGUGUGAGAGAAAAAUCCUCUUGAGAGAAAAACCAAGAGAGAGUUUAGCCACCGGUGUUUGGUGACCUUAUUAUUGUAUUCCUAUUAUUUUUCUUAGUGGAAGAUAGAGUGUUAAUUUUUGCCCAUUUUAUUUACACAAGGCUGGGAAAAGUCAUAUCCUUAGAGUGCCAUAUAUUAUUUAUUGGCUCUUUCUUUUUUUGUCAUGUUUUCCAACGUAAAAUUUACCCUGUGUGUGUAUAUUAGAUAAGGCUUAUCCAUGCAGGAAUCAAUAAGCCAUUUCCUAAUGCUCCUGGAAAUCUAAAGGCUAUCCGUUUUCUUAUAUAAAAUUAAAGGUAUAAACAAGAGUCCAAGAUAUUGUGGUCACCCUGUUGAUGUCUAAACCCUUUGAGCUGAAAGCAUUUGAGCUGAAUGCAUUGGAGCUGAAUGCCUUGGUGCAGAAGCUACUCAGUCGUUUUAUGUUACAGUUUAUGAACUUUAGUUUCCUUUUUUUUUUUUCUAAAUGUUUUCUUUUCUGUCUUAAUGUAAUUUGAGCCCUUGGAUCAUAGUCCAAGUGAUCUCUUAGCUAGUCUAGGAUCUAAGCAUUAGAUUAUGAC
rnacentral:lncRNA from 1 species